rnacentral:rRNA from 1 species
GCAAUCUACCUUUCACAGAGGGAUAGCCCAGAGAAAUUUGGAUUAAUACCUCAUAGUAUUACGAAGUGGCAUCAUUUUGUAAUUAAAGUUUCAACGGUGAAAGAUGAGCAUGCGUCCCAUUAGCUAGAUGGUAAGGUAAUGGCUUACCAUGGCUACGAUGGGUAGGGGUCCUGAGAGGGAGAUCC